AGUAACUGCGAGUGAAGCGGGAAAAGCUCAAAUUUAAAAUCUGGCGGCCUUUGGUCGUUCGAGUUGUAAUUUAGAGAAGCGUCUUCCGCGCUGGACCGUGCACAAGUCUCCUGGAAUGGAGCGUCAUAGAGGGUGAGAAUCCCGUCUUUGGCACGGAUGCACCAGGGCUUUCGUGAUGCGCUCUCGAAGAGUCGAGUUGUUUGGGAAUGCAGCUCAAAAUGGGUGGUGAACUCCAUCUAAAGCUAAAUAUUGGCGAGAGACCGAUAGCGAACAAGUACCGUGAGGGAAAGAUGAAAAGCACUUUGGAAAGAGAGUGAAACAGUACGUGAAAUUGUUGAAAGGGAAACGCUUGAAGUCAGUCGCGUCGACCGAGACUCAGCCUCGCCUUGGCUUGGUGUACUUCUCGGCCGACGGGUCAGCGUCRAUUUUGGCCUUCGGAUAAUGGCAGGGGAAAGGUAGCACCUUUACGGGUGUGUUAUAGUCUCUUGUCGCAUGCGAGGGUCAGG
rnacentral:rRNA from 1 species